rnacentral:rRNA from 1 species
UACGUAGGGCGCAAGCGUUGUCCGGAAUUAUUGGGCGUAAAGAGCUCGUAGGUGGCUUGUCACGUCGGGUGUGAAAGCUUGGGGCUUAACUCCAGGUCUGCAUUCGAUACGGGCUGGCUAGAGUGUGGUAGGGGAGAUCGGAAUUCCUGGUGUAGCGGUGAAAUGCGCAGAUAUCAGGAGGAACACCGGUGGCGAAGGCGGAUCUCUGGGCCAUUACUGACGCUGAGGAGCGAAAGCGUGGGGAGCGAACAGG